AGUGGCAGCAGUAAAAAGGGGGGUCAGAGCAGCGUUCCCAGGAUAAAAGAGCUGGGCUAAGGGCUCCUCUCAAUCACUGGGCCCUCCAGGAGCUGUGAUCAGGAGUGAGCUUUUUCAUCGCCCCUGGGGAGGCUGCGGGACUUCGGUCAGCCAUAUGGUGUGAGUCCCCUGCCCCUCCCUCAAUCACAGCCCUGGAGGAGCGGCCUGAUGAGGCUGGAUCAGACCCACCGCUUCCUGAUGGAGAGGACAGCCCUGACUCGACACAGCAAAGAGACAGCCAGGACUACAACAGCUGUUGUCACGUGUGGUGUGCAGAGUAUCAGUCGGAUGUCACUCGGUGAGGUACUAGCUGAGGUUGAAAGGCUUAGAGUAAG